AGGCGGGGGCAGGAGGGGGGGCAGCAGCGGGGCCACGGUGUGCGCUGAGCGCCCAAGCGUGACGCCCGCCCUCAGGGCCCGGCGAACUGCAGCCUCCACAAUGCCCUUGGCCCGCAGCGGGCAUGCGCGGCCGCCGCCUGCCAGGCCCGCCCGCCCCGUUCCCGCCCGCCGCCGGGCGGGGACACCGGGAGCGAGGAGGCGGCCGGGGCGGCGGGGCCGGGCCGGGCCGAGCCGAGGGGCGGUCGCUGCCGCGGGCGGCAGGUCUUCCCCCCCUUUCCUUCACCUUCUGUGGUAGAACGUGUUCCCUUCUCCGUCAGCACACCACCUGCUCCGACACCACUUUGCCACCUUUCCUGCACAGCUGUCUCUCCCUGUCCUGGAAGCCGACUGUUGGUUGGUGUACUUUAGGCACCUGCUUAAAGUGUUUGCUGCAAAGGACCUAAGUACUUGCACUGUGACAUCAAAGGAUGACAUUUUGAAAUUACAACUUUUCCUUUGAACGAGAAGAAGAAAAGGUUCCUGGUUGCUAUGGUGAUGAGCACUAUAUAAACGUCUAUAAAUAAAUAAAGUAAACAGCUGAUUCAUGGACUUUGAUUUGCACUAUUUUUUUGGUUUUCUAAUGAGAUAUAAUUAAAUAUCAGAAUGGGAGGAAGUGACUUUCUAUUAAUUUUAUUAAAUACAUGUUAUGCCUUCUCUUUUACAGCUGAGAACGGUUAAAUAGUAAGAUGUGUAUUUUUCUCUCUAUAGGAAGUUGAUGGUUUAAAAAAUCAUAGUCUAGCAUUUGUAGAAAAAACUUUUAGAUGCCAAAAGGCAGUCCACUAAAAAGAUGGUGUCCAUUUUCAGUUUAAGCAGAGCAUACGUUUUGAGCUAAAUGCCUAUUUUUCUCAUCUUUGAGAGACUAUUACAACUGUUGCAACAUUUAAGUUCCAGUCAAAAGUGUCUAUGAAAGUAAUUAUGUUCUUCUGCAGUAUUUGAAACCCCACUGGUGCACAACAACAAAACUUGAAAAUGUCACUGCCUUUUCUUUUAUGUCAAAAUGACAAAGGCACAGUGAAAAAUCAUAUAUUCCUUGUUGAAGUUUGAGGAGGAGGGGAGAAUUGGCUUUUUCAUAAGCUUUUUUUUUCUCAGGUCUGUGAUGUAGAAGUAGCUUUCUCUCUGUGCUGAAGGUGAUAAUUGUGAAAUGGAUUGGAUGGAGACAAUAAACAGCGCACUGGAGUAAUCCCACACACAGGUGUUUCUCACAGGAAACGGGUGCGCUUUGAUUAACAGCAAAGGAGAGUCUAUGAUGGAAGGAGCUGUCCUUAGGGGAAGGAAAAAAGGUUUGUGUGAUAUACAGAACUACUCUUUGGUUAAAGGAUCAGUCUGAUUUCAUGACGGAAACUGAUUUUGCCACACUGGCCUGAAGAGAGAUUACCUCAGCCCUGAGCUGUGGGGUGCAGCUUGUGCACUGACAGGGAAUAGAUCUGUUUUCUACCACAGUCAUAGCUUUGUAUUCAAAGCAACUGUCAGAUUUCCAAAGGACUUGGAGCACUAUACUGUCCUAUUAAACAAUAAUAAAGUCACACCACAUCCUUCACUGUCUUCCUUCCCUCUGUGCAUUCAGAUUCAUGUCUGCUUUACCAAUUAAAAAUAUAUUUGACUGAAUUCCUUUUACUUCCAAGCAUGGGUAAUUGGACAAAGACACGUGGUAGUUUUUUGCAGUUACACACAACUUUGUCUCACAGAGCAAAACAUGUAUCUGCACACAGCUGUAGAAGGCAGGGGCAGAACAGGAGCAAGGAAUGGUGUCCCUGAGGGUGUCACUUGAGUGGUGACAGCCUGCUGCAGUUUGAUUUAUGUUUCAUAGGCCUGUCACUUUUGUCACAACUGAGCUGCUGCAGUGGCCAGGCUGGUGGUGCUCACCUGAAGAACAGUGACAGCAUCAGUGAAAUAGCCAUAGAGCUGCUUCUCAACCUGGGGUUUUCUGCCAUGGGACUGGGUUCAUCUCUCAGAGGGUGGCACAGUGUCCUCACCCUGAUCCUGUGGCCACCACAGCACUGUUUCAUGUGGGCCUGAGGCUGGAGCAGGUUGUGCCUGCUGGAAUGUGAUUUGUGCUGCACACAUAUCAAAGGCAGUAUUACCUGGAUUGAGGGCAGGGUUGGACAGUCAGUGUUUGACCUGCGUGACCAGCAGUGGACAAGGUGAUCCAAGGUCUCUCCUAAAAGAGUUGCUGCAGAGGCUGAUGAGGUUUGCAGGCAGCCUGAACCCAAACAGAAUUCUGCUGCCUGCCAGAGCAACAGGGAGAUGGGAAAGGUGGCAAACAGGGAGUCCUGAAUGUGCUUUGAGUUUGCAGCUACUCCCAGGGCUAACCACAUGGUUUUUGUGUUCCUGGAGACCAGGCUGGUACUGGAGCAAGACCUGGCUCCAGAGUCACUGACAGAAUUUUCUCAAUUGAAAGGCAGCAUUGUUAGUAGUACAUACUGCAUUUAAGGAAGAGGCAACUUUAUUUAGUAAAGUCUUUUCUUUGGAGAGGAGGAUGAAAUACACAUAUAGAUAUUAGUGAGAGGACAAACUGUUGAGGACAAGCUGGAGCUGUUGUGUAUCUUCAUUUCUGGCAUGGUUAGGACAAAGGGUGAAACAGUGCGUAUACCAGAUUUUUUUUUCCAUUCCUCAGAAGCUCUGCUUAUGUGUGGUUAGAAUUUUUUUUUCUGUCAGAAUUUUUUAAUAGAUAGAUAUGAUCCAGGACCAUCUGGUGGAAUUUGCUGUUGUCACAUCUAGGUUUUCUGAUGUAUUGCCUGUCAAGUUAUGUUGUAUGUUCAGAUGAAUUUCUCAUAUGAUCUGCUGACAGCUACUGACAGUCCUGAGAUGGAAAGUUGGAAGCCUGGAGGGGAGAACAGAGGGGCAGAGCUAGCUUUAAAAAUGUAGCUUUGAUUGCUUUUGAUUGGUGAGCUUUUAUGUCUGAUAUUUAUGGGUGACUUUUUUAGUGAAGAAAUGUGAAUGAGUGAACUUGGUUUAAACCAAGUGCACCUAAACUUACUGUAAUUUUACUAGGAAGGUCUUGGAAGUCUGCCUGUAGUUUUGUUGUUGAUUUUAUUUUUUCUUUGACACUGGGCUCCUUAGUCGUUCUCUAUCCUUAACUCUCCCUCUGUAGACAAUCUCACACCUACUUAAAUUGCUGCCUUUUCUUCUUCCUUUACUCCUCAGUCCUUAUCAAGUCCCUUUUUAGAAAGACCUCAAAAUAUUUUUGUAUUUGUUAGGAUACUAUUAGGAAUCCUAAUAAUUAUAGUGUGCUAAUCCUAAAUCCUAAUAGCAUAAUAAUUCUGUAGUAAAAUGAACUUAGAUUUUUGACAAAUUCAUAUUAAACUUUGCAGACAGAUCACAUGUAUAAAAGCAAUAAGCAACUCUGAAAUAACUACAGUAAUUAUUUCCUUGCUGGUAUAGUACUCAAAUAAUUAAUUAAAGUAGACGGUUUUUGAUGUAGAGAUCCACAGUGCAAUUGCAUUUCCUCACACACUGACAAAGAUAAUGCUCUACUUUGUAAACCAGAAUCCAAAUAAGCCAUAAGCACUUCAGUUUUGUUCUUCAUUUUUUUCUGCCAUAAUUUGAAGCUCCAAGUAGCAAUUACAGGCUGGUGACAAGAUAAAUUUCACAACCUGUUGUCAUUCAUAAUUUUUCAAUUGGCUAGAUCAGAAAAUAAGUGAUUUGUGUUUGAAUUUUAACGGUUUUUAGUUUAUAUAAUACUGGUAGAAAGCACAGUACAGGUAUUUCUGAGUGGGUUGGGAGGAAGCCUGUUUGUAGACAGAGGUAGGAUUGCCCUGCAAAGGCAUAUCCAGGUGUGGCUCUGAACACACCUCAAAGCUGUCCUGGUUAUACUGGGCCUCCUGCUCAUUACAUCCUGCCUAAGUGUUGAUGAAGUUGGAAGUCACCCUUGAAAGGAAAAUGGUUUCUUCCAUGGGAAUCUGGAUCUUAAGAUGACAGUUCCCAAGCUCAGGGGGCUCUUGCUGAGGAAGAAGCUGAAAAGCAUUUACUUGCCUCUGUUUACUCCUGUGAGUCCUUGAUGCUAUUUCCUGGACUGGGGGCUGCGAGUGCCUUUCUGUGGCAGUUGAGAGAGAGAUCAUAUCAAGCUGACCAGGCCUCUAGAAUCUGAAUAUAGGGACCACUGUUAUACUCCAGUCCUGUUCCAUACCUUUAAAGUAUCAGAUAAGGAAACUUGGAAAUGAUCCCACUGCUGUGAUAGGGGAGGGAUUGAAUAUGCAAGGGUCAGUGUAAAGAUGCAGCAGCUCUCCAUGGUGGUGGUGAUCUGUGUUGGAUGGAGCUCUGUUCUUGGACUGCUCAAGCACCAGCUCAGCUAUUUUCAGAAGCAGUGGACUUUGAAGGAAAACCCCAUAGAUGGAAUAUGGCCAAAUCCUCUGCCUGUAACAUGUUUGAUAGCAUUGCAGGGUGGCAAAGCUGGUCUUCAGUCCUUUAAUGCAUUAAAUUAACUCCAGGCAAGCUUGCUGAGAAAAGGGUAAUGAAGCGGGUCCAAAAUGGGCCGUGUGCGCUCAAGCACAUGCAGUGGGCUUAAUGCUCUAGGCAGCAUUCCCACAGGCACGUGGCUCUGGAGCAGCCAGGUCAUGGAGCACACUGUGCUGUUUGUCAAAUGUAUUGCAGACCACAGGUGCAGCCAAAAUCACUUAGCCAGGCAUCAAAGAGAAAGUCAGGAGGGAGAGCAAUUCUAUCAGGAGAAACUUGUGAGAGGAGCUGGAUGAAGUCUGGCAUAAAGCUGGCUUGUGGAGGAUGUGUUCCAGUCAGCACCCUCUCAGGACCUGCCUAGCCCACUGUAGGAAAAAAUUCAGCUUCUGUUAAUUGAGAUGAGGAUCUCAACACAUGGAUUGUGUAGUUUCAGGUAGAGGCAGCAUCUGAACAGGUCUGCAGCAUGACUGACGUGCAGUCUUCAUCUUUACUUCAUGUGAUGAAGAGGUGGGCAGGUGGAGAUUACUUGAAGCAUCUGGAUUGAGGCAGAACAUAAUUUUUCAGAGUUCCUUUGUCUGGAGGAGUACACAGCCCUUAUAUAAUUCAGAAUGUUAAAAAAUAGGGAGCUGUUGUCUUUAAAAAUCAGUGAGCACCCAAGUCUGUCGGUUUAAAAUCUUGCAAUAUAUCUAAAAUGAACCAAGAAAAUGUGUACAAAAAGUACUGAUAAAACCAAGCCCUUCAUAAACUCAGAAUAAUGUGUAUUUUCCACAUUUAGGCUGAAAUACCUGGAGCUGCAUGUGGAUUUAUCCUUGUCAGUUCUUCUGAAAUCAUGUUUAAUAGAGACGUUCUUUUCACAUGUGAUCUGUAAAUAGAUUUCUCUGUUUGUUUGUUUUGCAGUAAAUCUUCCUUCCCCCACUUUUUUUUUUUUUUCUUCUUCAAGCCUUUUCUUCUUUCUUCUGAUUUAAACCUGAUGAUGUUAUGCUGUAGUUAAAUUAUCAGAGAGGGAGAGUGAUAUCAGUGUCCUCCACCUUGUAGUAAAAAAAUCUAUAUUUUUGUUUUCUGCAGUGUAUUGAGAGCAAGAUAAACGAGCAGGGUGUUGCCAUCCUUCAUCACAGUCAGAAUGAUAAAUGCCAUGUCCUGGAAAGUUUAAAGAUGUUUAAGAAUGCAAAUCCUUGGCCCACAGGGAGAUGUUUGAAAGUGCAGAUCCAGUCAGGAGUUAAGCACAUCCUUAAAUCUAAGCAGAAGCAUUGCUUCCAUUGGGUGUAUGAACCUGGCACCACGCUGUGUGGGGUAAGCAAAGCUCAUUCUGUGGCAGGAGAUUUGACUUGUUUUAGUGGCUUGUGGUGGAAUAAGAAGAUGAGCCUUUUCCUGUCCCCUUGAAGAGCAGUCUGAGGGUAGUGCAGGUUUUGCUGUUGUGUUACUGUCACACAACAGUGUGAUCUGAUGUAGAUGGAAAUGCUGAUCACUGGUACCCUUGCAGUGCAUCCCUCCACUUCUCCUCACUUUUCACCCUCUGCCCGUGUCUGCUAACCAUGAGCAGAGAGCCUUGUUUGUAGCAGGCAAUAGAGCACCGCAGCACCUCAGCUUGGAAGGUGGAAGCACUAGAAGAGACUGAGGAUGUUACGUGGGAGUGCAUGACUUUUCCUCCCUCGCAAACAAGGAAAUAUGUAGAAAUUUUCAAUAAUUCACAACUCAGCCAGGAAGGCCAGUGACUUCCUGGGAUGCAUCAGGGACAGCAUCACCAGCUGGGUAAGGGAGGGGAUUGUCCUGCUCUGCUCUGGGGUGGCCUCAUCUCCAGUGCUGGGGGCAGUUUUGGGAGCCUCAAUCUAAAGAAGACAUUUUACUAUUAGAGUGUCCAGAGGAGGGCAACAAGGAUGGUGAAGGGUCUGGAGGAGAAGUCUGGUGAGGAGUGGCUGAGGUCACUGGAGCCUGGAGGAGACUGAGGGGAGACCUCAUUGUGGUCUUCAGUAUCCUCACAAGGGGAAAGGAGGGGCAGGUACUGAUCUCUUUACUCUCAUGACCAGUGACAGGAUCCAAGGAAAUGGCAUGAAGCUGAGUCAGAGAACAGAAUGUUUAGUUUGGAUAUCAGGAAAAAGUUUUCACCGAAACAGUGGCUGAACACUGGAAGAGGCUCCCCAGGGAAGUGGUCACAGCACCAAGCCUGACAGGUUCAAGAAGCAUUUGGACAAUGCUCUGGAACAUACGGUGAUUCUUGAGAUGUUCUGCAUGGGACCAGGAGCUGGACUCGAUCUGAUGGGUCCCUUCCAACUUAGCACACUCUACGAUUUGAUGAUAUUUUCUCUAUCUGAUUCUUUUUCUGGUUGUCCUUUAGUGGAAGUGCUCUCUUUGGCUCUGUUUUCUUUCCUCCCCUGCAGUUGAUUUUCCUGCCAUGUUUCUUACUUCUUUGUAUUUGAUGUCACAUGCGCUUUCUGAGAAUGCAGUGUAUUCUCUGCUCUGGUUGCUGUCCACAUCUUCCUGGUAGUGUGAAGUCAUCUAUGUCUUUCCUCAUGGAUUUGAGCUAGUUUUCUAACUGGGAGGUGAUAGAUCAUUUUUGUGUACAGAUGGAAAUGUUUUUAUUUGAUUUUUUUUGGUACUGAAUUAGAUGUCGUCCCUCUUGCAUCCUUGAGACUCUCUAAAAGAGAGAUGGAGGCUGAGUUUUCCUGAUGCACUGAUUUUACAGCAUCAGUUUCACUGAAUUACCACCAGCUGAUCCAACAGCAUUGCAGCUGGCACUGACAUUCUCACAUUCUU